rnacentral:lncRNA from 1 species
UGCUUAACUUCAGUAAAUAAUGCUGUCAGAAGGAUUUAAAAUAUUAGGUUUGCAAUUUGGGUUUGACAUGUUAGGAAAGUCAUUGUUUUUAUCCUCAAGUUUCCUCAUCUGUAAGUGAGAUGAUACUUCAGGAUUGUUGUGAGGAAAUGAGAGAACACAUUUGAAAUCACUGUCAUCACAGGCACUGAGUAGGAGAUUGGGAAGUGAACUCAUUUCCCUUUACUUUGUUUACAGUUAGUUUUUAGCUAAUUUCAGAACUGCACUCUCAAGUUUAGUUGCAAUCAAAAUGUAAAUCAUAAGCUUUUAAACCCACCUCCCUUCUUUUUUAUUCAUAUUUUGAAGCACUUAUGUUAAUACAAAGAUGAAAAAGUCAUGGUUCCUGCCUCCACAGAACUUGAAAUGUGUGACUGGGAAAGAUAUGUAGAAAGAAUAACAAGUACAAGACUGCAAUCCAAGAUAAUCUGACAGGUACCAUAAUAAUGAAAAGGCUUGGGUCAGGAAGAGAGCAAGGGCACUGGCAACAUCAAAAGUGGUUCCUGAAGGAGGUGGAAUUUAAGCUUGCCAUGCACACUGAGUAGGAUUUUAACAAAUUAGGAAAAGGUGGGGAAGUGUUGUGGGAAAAGGCCCAUAAUUGUAAAGGUAUGAGGUCAUAAAAUGCGGGGCGGGAGUGUGGGUAACAUAUAAUAGGUAGCAAGGAAUAAAGAAAGACCUGGCAGCUGUGGACAGAUUAAUUUUAUAGAGAUACCUAAAAUUGCUAGUUGAAUUGCCACUGUAAUUGGCUGUGUCUAUGAGGAAGGACUUUGUGACUUACAGCAAUGGAAACAAAAAUAGGACAAGUUCCAUGCUGCUAAAUUAACAUUCUAGAAUGUGCCCAUAUUUCACGGUGACUUAGAAAAUUUAACCUACCCAAGAUCACACAUCUGUGAAGCAGAAAACCCAAGAUUCUGAUCCCUUCUCUACUGUGGAAGCUGAUAGUCACUUCCGCCAGCGUCCCGCCAACAAGUCCGCAGUGGGGAGAGAGCUGGGUGCGGGCAGUAGAUCCCGCUCAGGAAAAAGCUAGAGCGAGGAAGAACGCCAGGCGGGAAGAGCAGUGGUCAGAG